rnacentral:rRNA from 1 species
UACGUAGGUGGCAAGCGUUGUCCGGAUUUACUGGGCGUAAAGAGCGCGCAGGCGUCGUCCAAGUCGCGUGUGAAAGCCCCCGGCUCAACUGGGGAGGGUCACGCGAUACUGGUCGACUCGAAGGCAGGAGAGGGUAGUGGAAUUCCCGGUGUAGUGGUGAAAUGCGUAGAGUAUCGGGAGGAACACCAGUGGCGAAGGCGACUACCUGGCCUGUUCUUGACGCUGAGGCGCGAAAGCUAGG